rnacentral:rRNA from 1 species
UACGGGGGGGGCAAGCGUUGUUCGGAAUUACUGGGCGUAAAGCGCACGUAGGCGGAUUGUUAAGUCAGGGGUGAAAUCCUGGAGCUCAACUCCAGAACUGCCUUUGAUACUGGCGAUCUUGAGUCCGGGAGAGGUGAGUGGAACUGCGAGUGUAGAGGUGAAAUUCGUAGAUAUUCGCAAGAACACCAGUGGCGAAGGCGGCUCACUGGCCCGAUACUGACGCUGAGGCACGAAAGCGUGGGGAGCAAACAGG